rnacentral:rRNA from 1 species
UGGGGAAUAUUGGACAAUGGGCGCAAGCCUGAUCCAGCAAUGCCGCGUGUGUGAAGAAGGCCUUCGGGUUGUAAAGCACUUUUAUCAGGAGCGAAACGCUGUCGGCUAAUACCCGGCGGAACUGACGGUACCUGAGGAAUAAGCACCGGCUAACUUCGUGCCAGCAGCCGCGGUAAUACGAAGGGUGCAAGCGUUAAUCGGAAUUACUGGGCGUAAAGCGUGCGUAGGCGGUUUCUUAAGUCUGCUGUGAAAUCCCCGGGCUCAACCUGGGAAUGGCAGUGGAUACUGGGAGGCUAGAGUGUGUCAGAGGGUGGUGGAAUUCCCGGUGUAGCGGUGAAAUGCGUAGAGAUCGGGAGGAACAUCAGUGGCGAAGGCGGCCACCUGGGACAACACUGACGCUGAGGCACGAAAGCGUGGGGAGCAAACAGGAUUAGAUACCCUGGUAGUCCACGCCCUAAACGAUGCGAACUGGAUGUUGGUCUCAACUCGGAGAUCAGUGUCGAAGCUAACGCGUUAAGUUCGCCGCCUGGGGAGUACGGUCGCAAGACUGAAACUCAAAUGAAUUGACGGGGUCAUAGCUGUUUCCUG